UUGAACCACGGGAGGGGUUGAUCAAGGUGACAGUUGGAAAGUGGAUCUUGAAAGAGGGAGAUCUGGUAACUGUGACAGGACAGUCACAGGUUAGACUUGCCUACAGAAUGGGCUAAGUGAGGAAAUGUUAGUAGAGCUCUGAGAAGGGAACCUGAAGAGGCUGAAGAAAGCUGAGCUUGAUGUCCCUAGCCCCAGAAGCUUCCCAUGUUUGGCAAGAGUGACGAACACUGCCCCAGAGCUCCAUCUUCAGCUGAGGAUGGCCUAAUGCGUGGACAUUGCUACCAUAAAUCUUUGAUCGAUGGUGCAGGGGUGCACCAACACCUGAAGUGGCACACCCACAGGGAUGGCAUUCAAAGAAGAACAGGGGCUACGAGGGAGAAGAACGGUCAGAAAGAACCAGACAUUGUGGCUUUGGAGAACUGGUGGGGGGGGGAAUGUCCUAGCAAGGGCCUAUGAAAGUAAUUCCUUCUUUGGCACAUGCAGAAGAAGCUGAAGAAGAAGGUGGGUAUCAUCAUCAUCAUCAAGUGGAACAGAGGAUGAUCUUUGUUUAUUAAAAAAAAAACACACACA